CAGCAAUGAGAAAUGAGAAAACAAAAUGAGAAAAAUGAGCCUGAGAGAGGUUGAGUAAUUCUCACUAUGACAGUUGAAUAUAUUCAGGAGGAAUGGAUGGCGAUUACAGAGGCUCAUAUGUAAAUGUGGCAGGAGCUAUGAUAAAUGCUGGGGUACAAAGAAAGCCAUGCUCAAAGAGGUCACCAUCAAUCUGCAAACAGCCACAUGGAAACAAGGUCUUUGGAAGCUGGUGAUCCUCUGAUCAUUACGAAUUUGAAAAACAAUCCAACUAUCUUGGGAUGAAUAGGGCUGGGUUUGCCUAUUGACUGGCAGAUUCUAUAAAGCCCUCAAUAUCAUACAGGUAAAACACAGGAAAAUAAAGAAAAUGACCCAGAACACA